rnacentral:rRNA from 1 species
AUUGAACGCUGGCGGCAGGCCUAACACAUGCAAGUCGAGCGGAUGAAGGGAGCUUGCUCCUGGAUUCAGCGGCGGACGGGUGAGUAAUGCCUAGGAAUCUGCCUGGUAGUGGGGGAUAACGUCCGGAAACGGGCGCUAAUACCGCAUACGUCCUGAGGUAGAAAGUGGGGGAUCUUCGGACCUCACGCUAUCAGAUGAGCCUAGGUCGUAUUAGCUAGUUGGUGGGGUAAAGGCCUACCAAGGCGACGAUCCGUAACUGGUCUGAGAGGAUGAUCAGUCACACUGGAACUGAGACACGGUCCAGACUCCUACGGGAGGCAGCAGUGGGGAAUAUUGGACAAUGGGCGAAAGCCUGAUCCAGCCAUGCCGCGUGUGUGAAGAAGGUCUUCGGAUUGUAAAGCACUUUAAGUUGGGAGGAAGGGAAGUAAGUUAAUACCUUGCUGUUUUGACGUUACCAACAGAAUAAGCACCGGCUAACUUCGUG